CCUCUCCUCUCUCUCCCCCCCCCACCUAUAUCGAAGAAGCAGGCAGCCAUCUUGCGAGAUUGUAAUAAGGGACCUAGUACCGUGGUUGGCACGGAACAGCUGCUCAGUACAUUUUUACAGCACAGUGCAGUAAUGAAACAAAAGGAGCAGCUAACACUUGGGAAAUCAUCAGAGACACUUUCUUGUUACAUCUGUCAUUCACUGAAGUUGGGAAACCCAUUGUCUUAACUACAGAGUAGCUGAGUCACAGGAGCUUGGUAGCCAGAGACAGGUCUUUUUCUGCAUUAGCGAGUAUCCCCUCUCCUGCUGCCAGAAGUUCGGGCCGUGAGAAUCUCUUCAAACUCAUCAACGUCUGUCCACACAAGCAUUUGAUUUUACUAUGUGCUGGACACUGUGUUCAAUUCUGGGGACAGAACGAAAUGGGGAAACAAGGUGCUCACUCUCAAACAGCUCAUUCUAAUGAGACGAUGUGCAGAAAAAAUUAAAAACCAAAAAACUAUUU